UCCAAAGUAGCUCAACGGUGGAGCACCCGGCUGUUAACCGGUAGGCUGUGAGUUCGAAUCUCACCUUUGGAGCCA
rnacentral:tRNA from 1 species